rnacentral:snRNA from 1 species
GUGCUUACUUUGGCAGCAUAUAUACUGAAAUUGGAACCAGAAAGAGAAGAUUAGCAUGGCUCUUGCGCAAGGAUGACAAACAAAUUCAUGAAGAGUUCCACCCGAAA